UACAGAGGGUGCGAGCGUUAAUCGGAAUUACUGGGCGUAAAGCGUGCGUAGACGGUUAUUUAAGUCGGGUGUGAAAGCCCCGGGCUCAACCUGGGAAUUGCAUUCGAGACUGAAUAGCUAGGGUACGGUAGAGGGAAGCGGAAUUUCCGGUGUAGCGGUGAAAUGCGUAGAUAUCGGAAGGAACAUCAGUGGCGAAAGCGGCUUCCUGGACCAGUACCGACGUCAGGCACGAAAGCGUGGGGAGCAAACAGGG
rnacentral:rRNA from 1 species